rnacentral:rRNA from 1 species
UACGUAGGGGGCUAGCGUUAUCCAGAUUUACUGGGCGUAAAGCGCGUGUAGGCGGCUGGUUAAGUGUGAUGUGAAAUCCUCGGGCUCAACCCGAGAACUGCAUUGCAAACUGGCCUGGCUAGAGUGCAGGAGAGGGAAGCGGAAUUCCAGGUGUAGCGGUGAAAUGCGUAGAUAUCUGGAGGAACCCCAGUGGCGAAGGCGGCUUCCUGGCCUGUAACUGACGCUGAGACGCGAAAGCGUGGGGAGCGAACCGG